AUGGUUUCCUCCAGCCCCCGACUGUCCCUGUCACCCAGUGCCAGAUGGGAAGUGAGAGCUAAGCCGAUCCACCUCUUUGUGGUGGAAACCCCCCGAGCUUCGGCUACAGGUUGGAGUCAGAGCCCAGAGCAACGACAGACUGCAGUACAACUUCUCCCAGGUGUGUUCCUCUCCACCUGCACUAGCCAGCUGAAGUUGCCCAAGCUGCAACAAAUGAUAAGCAAAGUACAUGUGGUCUGGACUAAGGAGGCAAUGAAAUUCAAAUUCUAGGCACCCAGUUUGCUUUGCCAAAUCACUGUUUGGCAUCAAAGAGGCAUCAGAACUCUGGCUGCAGCUGUAAUCAGGAGUGUUCAGGUAUUGUAUUAGGGAUGAAUGCACAUCAUCCUCAUUUAAAGAUACUGAAGUGGGCUUUCACAUACAAAUUCCUAUUGAUGAACUUCAUAUUGUUCACUUUCAGUUGGAAUUUUAUGAACCUAAACCAGAAAAACAUGUGCUUUUGGUUUUGUUGAUGGUUGAAGAAGUUAACAAGAAACACCCUUGCAGUCCUCCCACUGAUUGAUAUCAUGUAAAUAUAAUUAUGAAUCUUGUUCUGGUUGUUAAGUAUAUAUAUAAAUUGCCUGCAUUACAUAACAUAAUCUUACUGACAAUUGACAUGAUAAAAGAUAUAAGUAUAAUACAAAAAGUGAAGCUAACAAUAAGUUCUGUCAUCUAAAUUACAAAAAAAAAAAAAAAAAAAAGCUGGCCAGAAGAUCAGUAUUUUGAAACUUUAUUGGGUUCCAGUGACCAUUCACUGGAAAUUCAGAAAGAGAUGUGGCUUCAGACAAGCCACCUUGGAGUUUCUGCAAUUAAACCUGCUUUGCAUUUUGCCUGUGCAAGGACAGAAAUGGCAGCUCUGGCAGCAGCUGCCAGGCUCAGGGCAGAUUGUAAUAGGUCCAGAGAUUGCCACCUCACCAGGUCACCUCAGGCAAAUCCAGAGCCUCCAAACCAUCCCUGGUGGGAUUUCAGGGACUUUCAGUGCAUUAAUGAUGGACCUGACGCUGGGGGCUUCUCCUAGAGCCACCCGCUUUGGAAGGCCUUCAUAACUGCUAGCAGCUGAAGGGCAGAGGCCUUCACGGCCCACCACCUCCAGCCACAGCUGAGAUUUCCUGCAGAAUUGUUUGCAAAACACACUACAAAGCAACUUUUUUUCCACCACAAAGUUGAAUUAAGAAAUCCUGACAAGUUUAAAGUUUGGAAUUAAACAGUGGAGCACAUGAGAGGUUUGCCAGAA
rnacentral:lncRNA from 1 species